GGGUGUUAAUCCUUUAACUGAAAAUAUUCUGAUCCACAUUGGAAGGGGGGAUUUUCACAGGAAAAAUUGCAUGCUAGUCAAUGACACUUUGAAAUUUUUUAUAAUUUUGUUUAGCUGCAAGAGAAUUUACGAUGGUGGAUGUAGAAGGCACGUGCAUUGCAUCUCAACCCCCUAUGAAGCAGAAGACACUUGCAGCGGAAACGAAGAUAGACGUCGAAUCAGCAUGAUCAGACAGAAAGCUUAUAUUUGCAGAUGCUUAGCGAAAAUGACUGCCGGGUACAGCGCUAUUACACUCAUUUCAACCAAGGAGGCAUGCAUACAGAUUUAGGCUUUGAAAACAAACAGCCAAAAUGGCGGCCGGUGAAUUAGAAAGUGUCUGGGUGCAUGUAGGAUAAUCUGAACGGAGAAUAGGAGUACUGCAUCCCAUCUGAUCCUGCAGGCCCGUGAUUUUAUAUACAGCAAGAUUACGACUAAAGUUCCACCAGUUGGAAACAAGUCCUCCAUCACAAACGAGGGAAUAUGUUGCACAUAUUGAGCAGUCUCCAGUAUAGCACAGAACAGUGGCCUCCAGGACUUUAGUGUUUCAGGAGAUUCAGCUCAUCACUUCAAAGGGCUUUCACUCUGCUGUUCAUAUGACAAAUACAAUGUGACUUCAUAGGGAUAGGUAGUAUGGCUGUAGAAGUUUUUGUGCCAAGUUUCAUGAAAAUCAAAGAAGAAGCCUGGUAGAAAGAAUUUGCCGCUUGACCAGGAUCAUUGUCUGGGUCAUCCGGUCAGUGGUUACCACCUGUACUUCAAGGUCACUCUCAGAGGAGUCCCCACAACAUCCGUAUUCCAGGUGAUGCAUUGAAAUGCUUAAAUCACAUGCCCAGGACUACAAAAGUGCUAUUAUUUAUGACUUGUGUGAUAUGGAGAGUAGAAAUGUCGGAGGAUAGAAGAAUUGUUCUCAGUUCAUCAUUACCUGCUGGUGGAGAGUUGGAGUGUCGGUGGAUAGAAGAAUUGUUCUCAGUUCUUCAUUACCUGCUGGUGGAGAGUAGAAGUGUCAUAGGAUAGAAGAAUUGUUCUCAGUUCAUCAUUACCUGCUGGUGGAGGCUGAACACUUUGAUAAACAUUACUGUUGUCUUGCUGAGAUGUAGCAAUCAGUGUGAGGUUUCAUUUACUGAAAGAAGAGUCGGAGAACUUCCUGGGUCUCAAGAGAUGAUGACAGCCUGACCACAGGAACACUUCCAUCCUCCUACAAGCAGAAAGAGGCUGUCUUACCAUCUGAUUCAUUUCUGGAAAUAGUCUUCCAAAUAGAGCGGCAUCUUUUGGACAAGGGGGACAUCAGUUGUAAAUUUCAGGAUUCCUGAACCCUUCCGUAGAACCACAGGACCCAAUUUCAACUUAGAACAGACCAUACUUGGAUGAAGGGAUCCAUGAUUGUUCAAUUAUAGGGCCUCAACCCAUUCCAAAGGAGAUAACAAAAAAAAUGGCAAAAUAGGAUUGAGUCGUUUUCGAAUCUCUACAAGAAGCAAUGUUUUACAUAGGGAUAUAUUGGGAAAUCUUUUCUCAAAAACAAAACAGUAGGACAAUAUUUGAUAUGCAAUCAUUCUAAAGUUGGUAGGGUGGGGUCACAAUAGGGGAUCAACAUUUAGGCCACUUGAAAUUAAUUAUCUGGUUCUCAGGCCAAUUUUCUCAAACCAGAUGAGGGAAGGAGGCAUUUUGUUUUCAUUUCUAUUGGACAUGAAAUAGGUGAUGGAGGCUUUUUUGAAAUCUGAAACUUGUUGGAAAAGAAACUUUAGACAUAAAAGUUUUCUGAAACAUACACUUUGUUAUUCGAUGAUUAAAGCUUUAUACAUACUUCAGACAUACAGAUUCAGCAAAUAUGGAUGUUUAAAUGAAUCUUACAUUAAACGCAAUUCUUUUGUGAAGUAAAUUAAAAUUUAAACUGUAACAAACUUGCAAAAACAUCACACGGGUCCUGUUUACAUAACUAAGAAUUGCGAGUGCUGUAUCUGAGGCAUUUAAAACUCAAGAAUUGACCAUCCAAAGUUUUACUGACCAUUAUAAAUACCCCAGUUAAACAUGAUAAAUAUUACAAAUGAGAAAAUAAGAUUAGAAAUGUUUAGUCCAAAUCGUGUUUAUGCCCCUUUAAGCAUAAUAUAGUGGUGUUAUUAAGUCAAUUUGUGAUUAAUGUGCGAAUAAAUUUUACAGGGUAUUGGUCACUGGAAGAGUCCGGCUGAUUGACGAGGAAUUGUCCUGAGACUGUGACAUAUUGUAGAGUAGCGGUCACCAGAGAUGUAAGGCUGAUUGAUGAGGGUACUUUUCCUGAGACUAUGUAAAAAUAUC